UACGUAGGGGGCAAGCGUUGUCCGGAAUCAUUGGGCGUAAAGCGCGUGUAGGCGGCUCGGCAAGUCAGCUGUGAAAGUCCAGGGCUCAACCCUGGAAUGCCGGUUGAUACUGUCGAGCUCGAGUCCGGAAGAGGUGGGUGGAAUUCCUGGUGUAGCGGUGAAAUGCGCAGAUAUCAGGAGGAACACCAAUGGCGAAGGCAGCCCACUGGGACGGUACUGACGCUGAGACGCGAAAGCGUGGGGAGCAAACAGG
rnacentral:rRNA from 1 species